CAGAUAAACUGUACGUGCCCCAUCGCUGGAGGUGUUCAAGGCCUGUUUGGAUGGGGGUCUGAGAAACCUGGUAUAGCAAAGAGUGUACAUGGCAGGGGGAGUUGCAAGUAGAUGAUCUCUUAGUAAGAUGAUCUCUCCCUUCCAACCCAAAACUUCCUGUGAUUCUGUGAAGCCCUGUUUUGUUAUAUACUUAAUUGAUGUGGUGAGCGGAGCAGAACCCAAAUCCCUGCUCUGCCUUAAGUUAACACACAAAUCAUAUUAUGGGUGUGGUUGCCUCUGGAGCCAGGGUGCUGCCAAGCUGCUCCUAUGCAGCCCCAGCCUCUCUGUGCCACACAUAAGGGUGGUUGGGAGCCAGCAGGAAGGGGCUUGUGGACAGACUUUAAUAUAAAACUUAAAGCAACUACUGGGAGGGAUAGGCUACUAAUUUAGAGACUGAAAUGAAAAAUUGCCAAGUUUCAAAGGCUGCUUUUCAAGGCAUUAAGAACAUACCAGAUGUCAGUUGAGGAAGCUGGAAGAAAUUAAAACGUCUGGAAAAGACUAUUUAAAAACUACCUAUCUGGCCUGUGUACUGCUGUUGUGGAAAAUCCCUGGUUGCUUCAGUGACCUCGACUUGGAUGGCUGUGUGCACUCAUGUUGAAAUACACAUUAAAAUCAAGGGAGAGUCUGCAGAGGCCUGGAGAAAACCAAACAAAAAGGAGCUUCAUGGAGCAGUUCAGGCAACAGAUGAAAAUCUGGUGACUCUCUGGUGUUGAUCUCCUCUCCAUGCAGAUGAAGCAUUUAGACUGGAAGCUCUUGAUGUGCUUUCUCUCCCCCACUCAAUUUCCUGAGAUUUGGGGCCAGAAUGGAGUGACCCCUGUCUUGCCAGUUCCAAGCAACUGCUCUCCUGCCAGACCAGUUUCUCUGCUCUUGGACUAGCAGCCGGACUUCAGCUCACUUCAAAGGCAGCUAAAAGAUUGCUGCUGCAGCUUCUCCAAGGCUGGUGAAAGGACAGAGCUUCUUGACUGGGCCAACAAAACCAAGACAGUACAUCAUCUUCAUUGAAGUGGCCAGAAUAUCUCCCUGAGGUUGGAAAACUUUCCUGGAUGUCUGUAGUACUGGACAUCUACCCCACAGAGAAAUUAAUCUGAGCAUUUGAAAAUGGCCACAAUUACUUCAGGAAUAUUUGCAGAAGUGGAAGUGAAAAUUAUCAUCUCCGUAAGAGUUCUGUGAGUCAAGGAUCAGUGAAGAACUAUGGAAAAUGAAGAAUUGAAAUAAUACUAUAAUACAAGUGGAACAUCCAGCAAAAAAUCUCUCUCUGAAUGUGAACAAGGAAAUGUUGACUGGAGUCUCAAGGUGCCUUUAGGAAUUGGACAUUUACUUCCUCGUCUGAAACCAAACAUUACUGGUAUGUAGUUGUUACAAAGAGAACUGGUUUUUUGUUCUCCUGAAAUCUUAGGUCACUUUUUCAAUACUGGUAAACUUGAAUAGGUUCAAGAUUUGUCUGUUUCAAACACAUCUCAGGCUUCACCCGGUCUUCUCCCUUCUGUCUUUCCAUAUGUAAGCAAUCGUGUCUGUCUCGAUAGUAUGUAAAGAUAUGAUAAUUUAUUCAAUAAUAUUUUGUAUUUGUUUGGUUUUCCAGCCGAUGUGAUGCUGUUUGAAAUAGUUUUCUGUAAAACUGACAGGAAGACUGGUUUCUGCCUUUCACUGAGCAUUUAUUAUCUCUCUCUCUCUGUAAAUAGACCUUGCAAAAAUGAAAAAAAUGCUAACAGUGGGUAAGAAUCGUGGAACAGAGACUAAAUAGUUGGAUUCUUUUCUCAGAGCUGCUGCAGAAGUCCUGAAUUAUUGACCUUGGGAUGUGACUGGUCAUAAUGCAGAAGGUCAUAUUAUUUCAGAGGAAAUAAAUAAUAAUUGCCUUUUUUAUAAGAAAUGUAUGUAUCAUUAUCUGCUCAGUUUUGUGUUGUGAUCUACUGGAGGAGUUAAUUUUUUUUCUGGGACAAAUGAGUAACUGUGUCAACUGUGCCAAGAAAAGGAAUUACUUUUGAAGCCCAAAAGACUUUUGAUUUUAUAUAUUUUUCUUAUAUUCCUAGCUCUGUAAACUACUAUUAUGCAGUUACCUAUCUUGUUAAUUAACUCUAGUACAUUUCCCACUCUUUCUCUUAGAUUUUAGAAUAAUCUGAUUUUCUAAAUACAUUCCUGAAAUACUGCAUAGUCUUAUUUUCAGGAAGAGGACCUAUAAGAAGAACAUUUUGUUUUCCAACCAGUAUCUGAGAAGUCGUAACAAAAAGUGGGGCAAAGAAGCCCUUGGACUAACUCCAAGGGGGUGCCCCAGGGGUGGGUUACUGGGUCAACUGAAUUUCCUAUUGGAUGUACCUGUAAGAUAGUCUAAUUUGUUAAUCUUAUAGAAUUGUGGAAAUCGGGUACUGGGUGUUCACCAUUACUACCAGGAUACCUGGAAGCUUCGAAAUAAAGGUCUGCUUUUUUACUUUAUUAUUCUAACAACA